CCUGGUGCGGUGGGGUCCCUCGGCCUGGCCUGCACCCUCUUGCAAUCCAGGACUGCUCAGGGGAUGUUGGACUGCCAGUUUAGGCCCCAUCCCUGCAGGCCAGGCUGAGGGACUCCACCUGUGCACG
rfam:Myotis brandtii contig173742, whole genome shotgun sequence.